rnacentral:rRNA from 1 species
UACGUAGGUGGCGAGCGUUGUCCGGAUUUACUGGGCGUAAAGGGAGCGUAGGUGGACUUUUAAGUGAGAUGUGAAAUACCCGGGCUCAACUUGGGUGCUGCAUUUCAAACUGGAAGUCUAGAGUGCAGGAGAGGAGAAUGGAAUUCCUAGUGUAGCGGUGAAAUGCGUAGAGAUUAGGAAGAACACCAGUGGCGAAGGCGAUUCUCUGGACUGUAACUGACGCUGAGGCUCGAAAGCGUGGGGAGCAAACAGGAUUAGAUACCCCCGUAGU